rnacentral:misc_RNA from 1 species
UACGAAGGGGGCUAGCGUUGUUCGGAAUUACUAGGCGUAAAGCGCACGUAGGCGGGUCGUUAAGUCAGGGGUGAAAUCCCGGAGCUCAACUCCGGAACUGCCUUUGAUACUGGCGAUCUUGAGAUCGGAAGAGGUGAGUGGAAUUCCCAGUGUAGAGGUGAAAUUCGUAGAUAUUGGGAAGAACACCAGUGGCGAAGGCGGCUCACUGGUCCGAUACUGACGCUGAGGUGCGAAAGCGUGGGGAGCAAACAGG